rnacentral:rRNA from 3 species
AAUCCCGUGAACCAUCGAGUCUUUGAACGCAAGUUGCGCCCCAAGCCUUCUGGCCGAGGGCACGUCUGCCUGGGUGUCACAAAUCGUCGUCCCCAUCCUUUGCUGAUAAGGGACGGAAGUUGGUCUCCCGUGUGUUACCGCACGCGGUUGGCCUAAAUCUGAG